rnacentral:misc_RNA from 1 species
UACGUAGGUGGCAAGCGUUAUCCGGAAUUAUUGGGCGUAAAGCGCGCGUAGGCGGUCUGUUAAGUCUGAUGUGAAAGCCCCCGGCUCAACCGGGGAGGGUCAUUGGAAACUGGCAGACUUGAGUACUACAGGGGAGACUGGAAUUCCUGGUGUAGCGGUGAAAUGCGCAGAUAUCAGGAGGAGCACCGGUGGCGAAGGCGGGUCCCUGGGUAGUAACUGACGCUGAGGCGCGAAAGCGUGGGGAGCAAACAGG